AGUGAACGCUGGCGGCGUGCUUAACACAUGCAAGUCGAACGAGAACGGAUUAUAGCUUGCUAUAAUUGUCAGCUAAGUGGCGCACGGGUGAGUAAUGUAUAGGUAAUAUGCCUCUUACUAAGGGAUAACAAAUGGAAACGUUUGCUAAUACCUUAUACUCCUUAUUAACAGAAGUUAAUAAGGGAAAGAUUUAUUGGUAAGAGAUUAGCCUGUAUUGUAUCAGUUAGUUGGUGGGGUAAUGGCCUACCAAGACUAUGAAACAUAACUGGUUUGAGAGGAUGAUCAGUCACACUGGAACUGAGACACGGUCCAGACUCCUACGGGAGGCAGCAGUAGGGAAUAUUGCACAAUGGACGAAAGUCUGAUGCAGCAACGCCGCGUGGAGGAUGACACAUUUCGGUGCGUAAACUCCUUUUAUAUGAGAAGAUAAUGACGGUAUUAUAUGAAUAAGCACCGGCUAACUCCGUGCCAGCAGCCGCGGUAA
rnacentral:rRNA from 1 species